rnacentral:rRNA from 1 species
AGUGAACGCUGGCGGUAGGCCUAACACAUGCAAGUCGAACGGCAGCACAGUAAGAGCUUGCUCUUACGGGUGGCGAGUGGCGGACGGGUGAGGAAUACAUCGGAAUCUACUUUUUCGUGGGGGAUAACGUAGGGAAACUUACGCUAAUACCGCAUACGACCUACGGGUGAAAUCAGGGGAUCUUCGGACCUUGCGCGAUUGAAUGAGCCGAUGUCGGAUUAGCUAGUUGGCGGGGUAAAGGCCCACCAAGGCGACGAUCCGUAGCUGGUCUGAGAGGAUGAUCAGCCACACUGGAACUGAGACACGGUCCAGACUCCUACGGGAGGCAGCAGUGGGGAAUAUUGGACAAUGGGCGCAAGCCUGAUCCAGCAAUACCGCGUGGGUGAAGAAGGCCUUCGGGUUGUAAAGCCCUUUUGUUGGGAAAGAAAAGCAGCAGGUUAAUACCCCGCUGUUCUGACGGUACCCAAAGAAUAAGCAACGGCUAACUUCGUG